rnacentral:lncRNA from 1 species
CACGAAGUCAGACCCAUCGUGGGUGCAGGUCACAGCUUGCAAGCAAGCAAGCUCCACUAGCAGAACAGAACUGUUGGGUGUGGCUGAGGGGAAUCUAGAACACAGGCAGAGGAGGGAGAGUAUAAAUAUCAACUAACGCUCAGCACCAAAUGCAGAAGUGGUGAACGCUGCUUGGUCUACCAUCCUCUUGCGAUGUGGCAUUGGUCAGAAUUUAGUCAUGUGGACAUACCAAACUGCAAAUGAGGCUGGGAAAUGAAUUGUAGCUACAUGCCCAGGAGGAAGGAGACUUGGCCUGAAUUAUUUCUUGCAGAAGAUCCAAAAACCUUCUGUUGGGGUCUGAAUUGGGACUCCUUUCCUGUAGCAUCUUUCUGGUGACCACUGAAGGGACUAUAGUGCAGAAAACCCCCACCCAAAGGCUAACUUUCGGUAAGUGGUAGGGGCCAGUAACAUCUUUCUGGUGAACUCUGAAGGGACGAUACUGAAGAAACCCUCCCACCCAAAGGAAAUAGACUACAGCACUGAUUGGCCAACUUUGGG